rnacentral:rRNA from 1 species
GUCUACGGCCAUGCUACCCUGAACAAGCCCGAUCCUAUCUGAACUUGAAAACUAAGCAGGGUCAGGCCUGGUUAGUACUUGAAUGAGAGACCACCUCUGAAGACUAGGUGCUGUAGGCA